rnacentral:lncRNA from 1 species
ACUCUCAAGUGUAAGAGCAACCGCUAGGAUAAUCAACCGUCGUCAUCGGUGAUUUAUUCUCAUUCGUUCCAGUCUCUACCCUUGAAUUGAAUCCACACACACAUGAGAGAGAGAAGGUGGAUCCAGAGGAGACGAUGACAAUGAUUUAACGGCGGUUGAGGAUCAAAUGGUGGCGACGAUGGUUUCAAGGCUGUGGUCGUUUUGGGUUUGUGUUUUAGAACAGGGGAAUUGAUUAUCUUUUUAUGUGUGUGUAAAUAUUCUAUAGUAUUUCUUUGCAGACCAUUGAAAUCAAGUACAAAUUAGUGAUCCAAACCACGACUACAGAUCGAAAAAUCAAGCCAAGACGGAAUCAGAGGGAACAGGAUAGAAGGAUGUGCUAGCAUUGGGUUAAAUUUAUUUAUGAUGGUGGGGCUAGAGGAAUUAAAAAAACUCAUACCGCUACUUGAUGCAGAGAAGGGGUUUUUUCGGGAUCGACAUCGGAUCCUUUUGAUUCUCACAUGUUCGUACCUUGAGCAUGCCAAUGUAAACUCAAAUAUCUGGUGAUCAUGGACAGUUGCUUCUUGCAUAUUAGAGUACACCUCGAAGCGAAUGGGGUGUUCAUGUUUGGACUAAGUGACUGACAAUGCUUACAGUGAAACCAGCAUCUGGUUCUG